GUCUUUUUUGUAUGACUGCUUUUAAGAUGUUCUCUUAGUCAUUGGUUUUAGCCAAUUUGGUUAGUAUGUGCUUUCGUGUAAUUUUCUUCACAUCUUCUUAUACUUAAGGUUCUCUGCGCUUAUUGGAUCUAUAAUGUUCAUCAAAUUUGGAAAAUUUUGGCCAUUAUCUAUAUAAAUAUUUUUCCUGGCCCCUUCCCUUUGGUGAUUCCAAUUACAUAUAUAUUAAACACCUGACAUGAUUCACAGCUUAUUGAUGUUCUGGAGUCUUUUUUCUGUACUUUUCCCUCUUUGUUUCAUUUUAGAUAGUUUCUAUUACUAGAUCUUAAAAUUUACCAAGCUUUUCUUCUGCAGUGUCUAAUAUGUUGCUAAUCCUAUAAUUUAUUUUUUGUCUUAUACAUUGUAUUUUUUUCAUCUCUAGGAGUUUGUCUUGUGUCAUUUUUAUAUCUCCCAUGCUUCUAUUUAACUUUUCGAACAUAUAGAAUACAGUUAUUAUACUGAUAUUUUAAUGUCCUUGUCUGCUAAUUUUAACAUUGGUGCCAGUUCUGGGUCAAUUUUGAUGGACUGACCUCUCCAUUAAUAUAAGGCAUGAUUUUUGAAGGAUGAGAAAGCACAAGCUUUUAUUGGGGUCUCUCAUCACCUUGCUGUGCUGUGGUGGGAACUGGCACAUAAAGCAGGAAGGAAUUGGAGAAAAAACCAUCACCCUCUGGAUCCCAGGAGAUUCUCAGGAGUUUGGAUGAGUGACAAGUGCUGUCAUCUGCUCUCGUUCAUAUGCUCUGUAUCUCUAUGAGCUUAAAUGUAUAGAGGCCCUGCUGUCUACCUCAGC
rnacentral:lncRNA from 1 species